rnacentral:rRNA from 1 species
GACGCAGGUGUGCCUUCGGGAACUGUAAGACAGGUGCUGCAUGGCUGUCGUCAGCUCGUGUUGUGAAAUGUUGGGUUAAGUCCCGCAACGAGCGCAACCCUUAUCCUUGUUUGCCAGCACUUCGGGUGGGAACUCCAGGGAGACUGCCGGUGAUAAACCGGAGGAAGGUGGGGACGACGUCAAGUCAUCAUGGCCCUUACGAGUAGGGCUACACACGUGCUACAAUGGCGCAUACAGAGGGCGGCCAACUUGCGAAAGUGAGCGAAUCCCAAAAAGUGCGUCGUAGUCCGGAUUGGAGUCUGCAACUCGACUCCAUGAAGUCGGAAUCGCUAGUAAUCGUGGAUCAGAAUGCCACGGUGAAUACGUUCCCGGGCCUUGUACACACCGCCCGUCACACCAUGGGAGUGGGCUGCAAAAGAAGUGGGUAGUUUAACCUUCGGGAGGACGCUCACCACUUUGUGGUUCAUGACUGGGGUGAAGUCGUAACAAGGUAACCG